UGUAAAGUCAUGUAAAAGUCAUGAAAAGUCAUGAAAAAGUCAUGAAAAAAGUCAUGGAAAAGUCAUGGAAGAGUCAUGAAAAAAUCAUGGAAAAGUCAUGGAAAAGUCAUGGAAAAGUCAUG